GAGGGAUAUUUGGGUCACUAUCCCCCCUCUCCCCUCCCAUUUUCAUCCCCAAAACAUAAAAUCAAACUACCCUAGAGGCUAAAUUGCUCACUUUCUUCCAAAUUCUCUCAAAGCUACUCAAGAACAAACCCUAGGGCUUUUAAUUUCAAGAGAAAAUCUUCAAGAACAACCCAUCAAUCUUCAUGAAUUCAAGCAUCCAUAUAUGUGAUGUGUUCAUCUAAGGGUUUCCUUCCACCCUUAGAGUUCAAGAAACUCUUUUAAACUACAAGUUAAUUGAUUUAUGAAUUCCAUGUGGAAUUUGAGUGUAUUCAUGAUUAUGAUAUUAAAUUGUGAUCUAAUCCAUGGUUUAUAUCAAGCUUCAUGUGAAAUUAUUUAUUAUGUGUGUAGUAUCAUGUGAAUUUAUGCUAAAAGCCCUUAAUUUUUUAAUAGGGAUUUGAAAUUAUGAUGCCUAUAUGUUGUUUAGUAUUAUGUUCAGAGAUUAUAUUCCCCAGGUGCUUGAUAAAUUGCUCAUGUGAAUUAAAUGUGAAACUCAUGACAUGCUAGCAUAUGUGAAAUCUUAUAUCUUACAAGUGUUUGAUAAAAUGCCUCUAUGUACGAGUUAUGAGCAAAUGGACAUUAUUAUGCUUUUCAAGUUUAUGUACGGAGCACCUGCCAGAUGAGGGUGAAUCUUCAACGUGUGUUUACAAUUGGCAUGGUACUGACAUCCUUCCAACUGGGGUUACAGGUUGGACCCUAAUCAGUUCAGAGAGGGGCAUAUCGGUUAGAUGAUUAUCUUCCACAGUUUCAGUUUCAGUCUCAGUAUAGAAAUUAGUUCACUUCUAUAAAAUCAGGACUGUCAGACACAGUCACCUAGCUCAGUAUAGAACUCAGUUCAAUUCUACAGAAUUAGGACUACUAGAAAUAGUCACCCAGCUAUCAAUAAUACAGUUAUCAAUAAACUCAGCUAUUAGUUGUUCAUUUAUCAAAAUUCAGUAUCCAGUGUGACUAUGACCUCAGACACAAUAUAUGUAGAUAUUUACACAGUAUUGCAUAAUCAGUGUUUCAUCAAUUUCAGUUAUACGUGUACUCUCAUUCAGUUAUAUUCAUAUUACUUAGCCAGUUAUUAUUCAUGAAUAUGAACCCAUGCAUUCAGCUUUACCUCACUUAGCAUACCAGUACAUUCAAAGUACUGACGCAUACUUUUUUUCACACUAUAAUGUCUUAUAUCAUAGGUUUAGAUGCACGGGCUCCUGACCGCACUUAGCAGCCCGAAUUAUCAGCAAUAGAUUUAGUAGUGAGUCCUUAUCUAUCGACUACAUGAUUUUUUUUCCAGUUAUCAGUUUAUCAGUAGUCAGUAGUUGGAGUUAGUUGGGGGCUUGUCCCAUCAACUCCACAUUCAGACAAUUCUGCUAGAGGCUUUUUAGACUAGAGUAUUUCAGACAGAUAUUCAAUUUUUAGUAUUUAUUUAUCAGUAUUCAGUAUUCUAUUUUUAGUUGUGAACCUUAUGGCAACAUCAGCUUGAUUUCUGUAUUUAUCUAAGUAUUAUUAUUAUUAUUACUGUAUGAUUAUUCAGUGCUCACAGUAGAUAUCAGUCAUGGGUUAGCUUGUGGUCCUUCAGGGUGGUAAGCACCGUGUAGUGUCCAACGUACACACUCGGGGCAUUACAAACUUGGUCUCAGAGCCUAAGGUUCAACAGAGUCCUAGGAAGUUUGAAAGCCAUAUCUAUUAAAGUCUUGUGCAUGGGUAUGUAGCGCACCACACUUAUGGAUAAGAGGCUAUGAGGCGUUUUUAGGAAAUGUUUCCUUUUUUUCAGUAUUCAUACCGUCCGAGUAAGCUUGAGCUCAAAUUACAGUCUCAGUCUAAUCCUUUUCUUACUUCUUUUUAUAGAACAUACCUCCCAAAAAGAACAAUGGAAAGAGAACCAGAAAUCAGCCAGCACCUCAGCCCAUUUUGGUAGAUCCCCUAGAUGAGCAUGUCUCCCAUGCUGAACUCAGAGUCGCUUUCACUACCUUAGCCAAUUCUGUUGCAACUAAGAAUGAAUGGCCAGAUGUUGUUUAGGACAACCCAAAGGCCAAUACUACUGCAGCUAGAAUUUGGGACUUCACCCGAACAAACCCUCCAGUUUUUACUAGGUCUAAGUCAGAGAAGGACCCACAAGAAUUUUUUGAUCAGGUAUAGAAAGUCAAAGAUAUUAUGGUGGUGAUGGAUAGUGAGAGUGCAGAGUUGGAUGCAUAUCAGUUAUAGGAUAUGGAUAUAGACAUAUCCAGGCUCAUGGUCCAUGGUCAGCAGAUAGAGAAGGCUAAGAAUAGGGAGAAGGAGGGGGAGAAUAACAGAGCUAGAAUAGAUAGCUUCAACUUUGCCCAACCUAAGUUAGAAGGUGGAAAUCAUUCUCAGUUCCUCCCAAAAUCCUCAGUUCCACUCCGUUCUCAGCCAGUGCUCCAGUGCUGAAAUUCAGAGACGGAAAUAAAUAUAGGGUACCAGGCCCUAAACCUCAGGGUAGUGUUAGUAGUGCCCGAACAAACCCUCUUUGCUAGAAAUAUGGCAGAAACCACCAAGGUGUCUAUAAGAUUAGCAGUGAUGUAUUUUUUUGAUAUGGCAAGGCAAGACACAAGGUCAGAUAUUGUCCUCAGUCAGGUUCUCAAAGUCAGUAUAACGGUCCCUCAUCUCAGUUCAGUCAACUGAAUCAACAGGGUGCCGCUUCCAGUGCCACCACCAGUGGGUAGCACCCAAACAAACUCUAUGAUCUUCAGUCCCAACAUGAUCAGGAAAUUUCUCCUGAUAUGGUCACUGGUACGUCACAAUUUCAUCAUUUACAUUUUCAUGCUUUGAUAGAUCCAAGAGCUUUUUUGUCCUUUGUAACUCCUUAUAUAGCUGUUAACUUUGAAGUCAGUCUCGAAAUCCUAGUAGAUUUUCUCAGUCUCUACCCUAGUGGGUAAAUCUAUCAUAGCCCAAUAGGUAUACAGGAACAGUCCGAUUAUGGUAUCUCAGAAAAUCACUUCAGCAGACUUAGUAAAUUUAGAGAUGAUAGAUUUUGAUAUCAUUCUUGGCAUGGAUUGGCUUCAAUCAUGCUAUACUUUAGUUGACUACAGAAACAGAAUUGUCCUCUUUCAGUUUUAGAAUAAACCUGUCCUUGAGUGAAGGGGUAGUACUUCAGCACUUAGGGGUCAGCUUGUUUCUUACCUUAGAGCUAGGAAAAUAAUAUCUAAGGGAUCUAUCUAUCAUCUUAUUUGAGUUUAAUACUCUAGUUCAUAGACCCCUAAUGUUGAAUCAAUAUCAGUAGCAUUUGAAUUUCUUGAUGUGUUUUCCGAAGAUCUUCCCAGAGUUCCUUCUAAAAGGGAAAUUAACUUCAGAAUCAACCUUCUUCUAGAUAAUCAGCCCAUCUUAUCCAACCAUAUAGAAUGGCACCUGUAGAACUCAAAGAGUUAAAAUAAUAGUUAAAAGAUCUCCUAGAUAAGGGAUUCAUCAUACCCAGCAUUUCCCCAUGGGGCGCACCAGUUCUAUUAGUGCGUACGAAAGAUGGUUCGCUCAGGAUAUGUAUAGACUACCAUCAACUAAAUAUAGUCACAGUCAAGAACAAGUAUCCACUUCGUAUCCACUUCCCAGAAUUGAUGACUUUUUCGAUCAACUUUAGGGUGCCAGCUACUUUUCUAAGAUAGACCUCAGAUCAGGCUAUCAUUAGCUCAGAGUCAAAAAAUUUGACAUUCCAAAGACAGCCUUCAAAACUCGGUAUGGUCACUUCAAAUUCCAAGACAUGUUAUUUGGUCUUACCAAUGCCCCAACAGCUUUCAUGGACUUGAUAAACCAUGUGUUCAAGUAGUACUUGGACAUGUUUGUCAUAGUCUUCAUAGAUGACAUUAUUGUCUACUCCCACAGUGAUCAUGAUCAUGCAGACCAUCUUAGAAUAGUAUUACAGACUCUCAGAAACCAUCAGUUGUUAACCAAAUUCAGUAAGUGCGAAUUUUGGGUAAGGUCAGUGGCUUUCCUCGGCCAUAUCAUUUCUGGUAAUGGCAUUAGGGUUGGUCCCCCAAAGAACCAGAGCAGUAAGAAACUAGCCUAAACCCAUCUCUCCAUCAGAUAUCAGGAGCUUCUUAGGCUUAACCGGCUAUUACCGAUGGUUUUAUUGAAGAAUUUUCAUCUAUUGCAUCCCCAAUGUCCAGAUUAACGCAGAAAAAAGACAAAUUUUAGUGGUCAAAUUUUUAUGAGAAUAGUUUUCAGGAGUUAAAGACUCGACUCACUACAGCCCCAAUUUUGACUCUAUAAAAUGGUCCAGACGGGUUUGUCAUAUAUUGCGAUGAUUUCAGAGUUGGUUUGGGUUGUGUUUUGAUGCAGAGAGGUAAGUUCAUAAUUUAUGUCUCUAGACAGCUUAAGCCCUAUGAAAAAGAAUUACCCUACUCAUGAACUUGAGUUAGUAGUUGUGGUGUUUGCCUUACAGAUUUCGAGGCAUUAUUUAUAUGGGGUACAUGUGGAUGUGUUCACAGACCACAAGAGCCUGCAGAAUGUAUUUUCUCAGAAAGAUUUGAACCUACAUCAGAGAAGGUAGUUGGAGUUGUUGAAAGACUAUGUCAUGAGCGUCAUGUACCAUUCAGGUAAGGCCAAUGGAGAAUAAUAAAAAGAAUUUAGUUCAUGAAGUUCAUCAGCUUGCCCAACUAGGUGUCCACUUAGUCGAUUCAUUAAAGUGAAGUGUAUAGGUGUAGAAUAGUUCAGAAUCAUCUCUAGCUUCCGAAGUGAAGGAAAAGUAGGACAGAGAUCCCUGUUUAGUCCAGUUGAAAGAUUCAGUCAGAGAACAGAAAGUAGAGGUUUUCUCCCAAAGGGGAGAUGGUGUAUUGCACAGCCAGGCUCAAUUAUGCAUCCAGGUAUAGAUGGAUUGAGGUAACGAAUUCUUGAAGAAGCGUAUGGUUUGAGUUACUCUAUUCAUCCAGGGACUACUAACAUGUACCGUGACUUGUGAGAGAUCUAUUGGUGGAAUGGGAUAAAGAGAGACAUUGCAAAGUUUGUAGCUAAGUGCUCGACAUGUCAUCAGGUUAAGAUUGAGCACCAGAAACCUAGUGGUUCCAUACAAGAGUUUAAUAUUCCCACAUGGAAGUGGAAGGAAGUGAACAUAGACUUUGUGAUGGGUUUGCCCCGUACUUGUCAUCAUCAUGAUUCAAUUUGGGUCAUUGUGGAUACGAUGAAUAAAUCAGCUCAUUUCCUACCAGUUCAUACCUCUUAUUCAGCCGAGGAUUAUGCCAAGCUCUAUGUUAGAGAUUUAGUUAGAUUGCACAGAUUUUUGUUAUCCAUUAUCUCAGAUAGAGGUACCUUAUUUACCUCUCAUUUCUGGAAAGCCUUCCAAAAAGGUUUUGGUACCCAAGUUCACCUCAGUACCGCCUUCCACCCUCAGACAGAUGGUCAAGCAGAGAGGACCAUUCAAAUAUUGGAAUAUAUGUUAAGAGCGUGUGCCAUUGACUUUAAAGAUAGCUGGUAUGACCACUUCCCUUUGAUUGAGUUUGUGUAUAAAAAAAGUUACCAUUCUAGUAUUCAGAUGGCUCUGUUUGAGGUGCUCUAUGGGAGGAGAUGUAGAUCUCCCAUUGGUUAGUUUGAAGUGGGUGAGGCCACAGUGGUAGGGCCUAACUUGGUAUUUGAUACCUUAGAAAAAGUUCAGUUGAUCAAGGAAAGGCUUAAGACAGCUUAGAGUUAGCGGAAAUCAUAUACAGAUAUGCGAAGGAAGGAUCUCGAGUUUGAGAUUGGGUAUUUUGUGUAUUUGAAAAUAUCUCCUUUGAAAAGAGUGAAGAGGUUUGGCAAAAAGAGGAAGCCCAGUCCCUGGUAUGUCGGUCCUUAUCGAAUUCUCAGCCAUUUCAGAAAGGUAGCUUACGAUCUUGAGUUGCCUUCAGAUUUAGCUUCAUUCCAUCAAGUGUUUCAUGUAUCUUUACUAAAGAAAUGCAUUGGUGACCCAGCAGCCGUAGUCCUUAUAGAGUUCAUAGAUGUUCAGAACAGCCUCUCUUAUGAGGGAAUCCCAGUCGAAAUUCUUGACCAUCAGGUUUGCAGACUAAGGAAUAAAGAAGUCUCUUUAGUCAAAGUUUUUUUACGAAAUUAGUUCAUUAAGGGAGUUACUUGGGAAGCAGAAGUAGAUAUACAGACGAAGUACCCUCACCUCUUCUCUGCAAACUCAGACUCAGCUCAAGGUAAUAGUUUUUCUUGAUUUUAUUCAGUUCUAUGCUGAGAUUACCUUUACAACUCUGUAUCGGUUCAGUUGCAUAGCAUUUUCAUACCAUGCAUACCUUUAUGAAACAGCUCAGUCAUAUGUCAUGUUUUCAUAACUCAGUCAUGCUUCAGUUAUGCAUGUCAGUAUGAUAACUCAGUAAUUUUAGUCAUGUAAUCACGCUUCAGUUGUGCAUGUUUAAUAUAUAUAAAUUCAAUCUAUCAGUAUUCUCAGGUUAGUCAGUUUCAUUCAAGGAUGAAUGUUCUCAAGAGGAAGAUAUUGUAUGACCCCAAAAAAUUCUAGGCUUAACUUAGUUUGUUAAAGCUUGAAAAGAGGUCCCAGACUUAGAAAAUUUUAGCUAAGUGCUUAUACUUAGGGGUAUUUUAAUCUUUGCAAGUUGGUGAUCCUAUUUCACGACCCUUAUGACCUUAAAAUAUUGAUUUUUAGGUUUAUUCAUGAUCCGAAAUGUCAAUAGGUCACUUCGAGUGAGUUUUAGAUUUUUCUUAACAUCGUUUGAAGCACGUUUGGAAAUCCAAAAUAGUGGAUCGACGCGAUCUCGAUGCACCGCGUCGCCUAUCACAUCGAUAAAUAUUUUUCUCAGCUUCCAGUGCUAAAUUCCAAUGAGUCAAUGCAAACUUGACACGUUGCAUCACCCAUCGCAUUGACAGUUAAUUUUUCCCCCAGCUUUCAGUGCAAUUCCAGUGAACCAAUGCGAACUCGACACGGUAUGUUAGUCAUCAUAUUGAUGCCAUUGACGCAGCGCGUCGAUCUUCGCAUCACUGGACACAUUUUCAGUCAUUAAUAAGUCGCAUCCAGAAGGGUAUUUGGGUCAUUAUACCACCCAUUUUUAACCCUAAAACAUAGAAAUCAAACGACCUUAGAGGCUAAAUUGUUCACUUUCUUCCAAAUUCUCUCAAACAUACUCAAUAACAAACCCUAGGGCUUUUAAUUUCAAGAGAAAAUCUUCAAGAACAACUCAUCUGUCUUCAGGAAUUCAAGCAUCCAGGUAUGUGAAAUGUUCAUCUAAGGGUUUUCUUCCACCCUUGGAGUUCAAGAAACUCUUUUAAACUACAAGUUAAUCGAUUUAUGAACUCCAUGUGGGAUUUGAGUGUAUUCAUGGUUAUGAUAUUAAAUUGUGAUCUAAUCCAUGGAUUAUUUCAACCUUUAUGUGAAAUUAUUUAUCAUGUGUGUAGUAUCAUGUGAAUUCAUGCUAAAAGCCCUUGAUUUUUGAAUUGGGAUUUGAAAUUAUAAUGCCUAAAUAUUGUUUAGUAUCAUGUGCAUAGAUUAUGUCCCCCAAGUGCUUGAUAAAUUGCUCAUAUGAAUUAAAUGUGAAACUCAUGACAUGCUAGCAUAUGUGCAGGCUUAUAUCUUACAAGUGUUUGAUAAAAUGCCUCUAUGUACGAGUUGUGCGCAGGUGGACAUUGUUAUGCUUUUCAAGUUUAUGUUAUGAUUUACUUUUCAUGCUAUCGAGUCUUGGGGGUAUUCAAUACCCAAAAAUCUAGCUGCUUACCUAGACUUAUAGUAGUUAUAGAAUAGUCUCAGUAGUAUCACAAUCAGUAAUAUUCAGUCAGUAUAGAACUCAGUAUAUUCAGCCAGACAAUAGAACUCAAUAAACUCAGUCCAGUUCAG
rnacentral:lncRNA from 1 species